CCAUUGUCAGUGGAAGCACUAUCCUGCUGGCUCUCCGCAUUGCUCUCGCUGCAAGUAUCACCGUGCUGACUGUCUGUGUUACGAGGGGAGUCCUCGGUGAUAUUAGUGGUAAGUGGAGACAUCGGGAACUGAUGAUCUGACACUGAUUCUGGGAGCUCAUCAUGAUCAAAGGAGAAUGGUACUAGCAAGGGUACAUACUUCGGUCGCGAGACCGGUGGAAGGAGGACCUUGUGUGUUGCAGGACCGCUUCCUACAGGGACUACACACAUUCUGCAGAUACCAGGAAGGGAGCGCAUGAAAUCACUGAGCUUAGGAUAACCAAGUGUGCUAUGAUCAAGCUCCAUUCUGCAAAUUGCUCUGAAAUCACCCUUCAGGGAGCUCAAUGGGUACCUAUCUCCAAGUCGUUCAGUAGCAUCUGCAAGAAAUCCUGGCAGCCACUUCCUGAAUAUAAAGAACCAAGAUGGAAGACACUUCUCUGGCAAGGGCCUCCGCUUCCUAAUGUAAUGUUCCUCCUUUAGCUCACCACCCAACAGAUGAUGAGUUACCUUUGGAACCUCCUGGUUGUGGUGCCUGAAUGAAGAAGUUUUCUGGAUUUCUGAAGGCAAGGAUCCUCUAGCAACAGCAUCCUUUACCUCCACUCUCUUCCCAAGCAUGUACACAUGAUGAGUUUCCUUUGCACUUAUCACAUCCUCUUCUCUUUUGAACUUUACAAAACCGAAUCCUCUGGAUUGCACCCGAUCACCCAUCCUUAUCCCAAUGACUACUGCUUCC
rnacentral:sRNA from 1 species